GUUAACAUGUGACAAGAGACCCUUGUAAAUUGUGCCUAAUCCAAUAAACUUCACUGCCAAAUUCAUCUUUGCAUGAGCUAAAUGAAUAUAAUGGAGAUAUUCUGUUAUUACCAAGGAUCGUAGCCACAGAGAUGCCGAGCAAAGUCUCAGUCAUGAUUAAUUUAUUCCUUCAAGUCUAAAACUAUCGCGAGAUUUCAGCAUUUUAAUUUUUGCUCUCUCCUUUCUCUCUUUUAGGGUUUCAACAGCAACAACAGUCUUCCUCCACCUUCUCCGCCUCUACCGUCGUGAAAUCAUCGUCACCUUCUAUUACUUCAGUAGAGCAGGUGAUUUGGCUCUCGCCGUCGCCGUAAAGUUCUUCAUGUGUCAUGCCUUUUCGGUUACUAUUCCGUGGUCGAUCGCCAGGAGAAGAAGAAGAGGAUGCUAUUCUCGUAUGAAUCUUCUUUCUUACUUUGAUGAUUUUUUAGUUUUUGUAAUUUUUAGGUUUCCGUGCUUUUUAAUUUUAGUACUUUCUGUUCAAAUUUUUGACUCGUUUUGUGUGAUUUGGUUUGAAUUGCUAAUUUUGACAUUCAAAUGAAAUCGAAGCUGUACCAAUUUGAUGAGGAAGGGGAUCAGUGGAAGAAAAGGGGAGCAGUAAGUGUGAAGUUGUUAAAGCAUGUCUUGUAAUAGGAAAAGUAAUAAUAAAUUUUGGAUCAACGUGAUUGCAUCUGUUCAACAUCGAGAUUAUGGAUCAACAUUGUACUUACCGUCUCAUCUGACAAAUCCGCAAAGAUAUGGGAAAUUUUGGAAAUUGGGGAUGGAAGUGUGAAGAAAGCAUAGGAAUGUCCUGGUUCCGGUGGAGUAGAUGACAUGCUAAUCGAAUGCCUUUGGCAAAAUGACACUCUUUGUUAUACUUGUCGAUCCUUCUCUAUUCAUUUUCACUUUCUUAUACAAAAUUGGAUUACUCUGACAUCACAGUAUGUGUCAGUGUACUAAUUUGUAUUUGACUGUACGUUAUUGAUUAAACUGUUUGAUAAAUUAAUUGCUCAAUUAAUGUCAGGUUGAGCUUCGAAUAUUUGAUGGAUUGGUGAAGGAAAGAACACAAUGUGCUCCAAAUGGAUGCUAUUUCAUUCCAGUAUAUGAAUGAAACCAUCAUGCUUAGAUGGAUAAGGUUUUUGUGUAUUAUUAAUGCUUACCAUCACAUCAAUUUUAUGAUAUAUUUAAUCUUAAUUAUUCUGUUUGUUUUCCUUUGUUCAAUUUUAUGUUGGUACAUGGAAAUUCAUACUUCUUGGAGUAUGUAUUAGUGCGUACUGACUUGGAUACCUUGGUAUGAUCAAUUUGCUUGACAUUUUUAUCAAUGUUUUUGUUUUCCCUCUUUAGUCUUUUGAAAAACUUUCAAUUGUGGAUACUGGACGAUUAUGGAAUCGAUGUUUUUCAUAUUCCAUUUUAACAUUAUACAAUGCUUCAAAGAGGACAUCAAAUCACUUUUACAGCUUGUUAAUUAUACUUAUACUUAGUCAAGACUCUUCUUUUAAUGCAAGCAUUCACAAGAUGGUGACAUUGCUUUUUCAUGGUUUAUGGCAGGUUGUAUAUGCUGUAAUGCACAGGCAGGAGAUUUUUCAGCCAUUUAAGAAUCAUCCACGCUUCAGUGAACUAAUUAAAAAUAUAUACAUGUUGCAUGGAUGCUCAAACACACGAUGGGGAAUGGUCAGUAAAGAAAGUCCUCCAACUUAUUAUUAUCAAUUGUCAAUCAUGGUGAGGUGAAGCGAUGAAGGCUCCAUCAGCAUAUGGUUCAUUUAACUUAAAACUCUACAAUGCAGUAUGAAAUAGAUGGAAGAGACCCUAAGGGAUAUGUCGGUUGCCUGUGGUCGAUUUGUGGUGUUCAUGACCAGGUUUCGUUCAUUGGCAUAAUCAAUUGCUCUAUUUGUUUCUAUUACAUAAUCAUUAUCAUUGCUGAUGACCUCUUUAAGGGUUGGAGAGAAAGACCGGUUUUUGGGAAAAUUAUGUACAUGAAUAAUGCAGGCUGCAAGAGGAAGUUUGAUGUUGAUGGCUACAUUGCUUAUGUGAAGAGUUUAGUAAAUGAAAUGAAGAAGAAAAAAUUAGAUCACCAAGUGAUUUUGUAGAUUUUGGUGAUGUAUUAUAUCUAUUCGAUGGAUUAUAUUUUGCACAAUUAUGUUAUGAUGUAAUAGAUGGAUGGAUAUUUUGUAUGGAUGGAUAUUUUGCCCAUUUAUGUCGUGAUGUAAUAGAUGAAUUUUUUCCGUUUUU